rnacentral:rRNA from 1 species
AUUGAACGCUGGCGGCAGGCCUAACACAUGCAAGUCGAGCGGAGCGGCGGACGGGUGAGUAAUGCCUAGGAAUCUGCCUGGUAGUGGGGGAUAACGUCCGGAAACGGGCGCUAAUACCGCAUACUAUCAGAUGAGCCUAGGUCGGAUUAGCUAGUUGGUGGGGUAAAGGCCUACCAAGGCGACGAUCCGUAACUGGUCUGAGAGGAUGAUCAGUCAAACUGGAACUGAGAACAGGUCCAAAAUCCUAAGGGGGGGAGCAGGGGGGAAUAUUGGACAAUGGGCGAAAGCCUGGACCAGCCAGGCCGGGGGUGGGAAGAAGGGCUUCGGAUUGUAAAGCACUUUAAGUUGGGAGGCGUUACCAACAGAAUAAGCACCGGCUAACUUCGUGCCAGCAGCCGCGGUAAUAC